GCUUGAACAAGGGUGUGGAGUUUGUGGUAUUGAUCUUUUGUGUUCUUGAUUCUACAAUCAAGAGAGGUAGCAAAUAGGAUUUCUCUAUGGCACGCGUGGUGACGUGAGGAGUUCUUCAUCAUGGGGUGUAUGGCGUGGAGCAAUCCUAUGGACGAUAAAACGAUCAACGUAGAACGCCAUUUAAAUUAUGUUUUGUUUUAAGGGACUUUUCCUAAAUUAUCAGUGGGACUCUGUUAUUUAACUUAAUUGGUUUUCUUUGAACUUUGCAUAAAAACCUAUGUUUUAUUUUAAACUUAUGGCGCCAACUUGCAUGAUUUUAAAUAAGUCCCCCUGAGACUUUAAUAAUGGAUGGUAUUCUUUUAUAAGCUA